UACGGAGGGGGCAAGCGUUGUUCGGAAUUAUUGGGCGUAAAGGGCGCGUAGGCGGCCGGAUAAGUCUGACGUGAAAUCCCCCGGCCCAACCGGGGAACUGCGUUUGAAACUGUUCGGCUCGAGUCCGGGAGAGGGUAGUGGAAUUCCCAGUGUAGCGGUGAAAUGCGUAGAUAUUGGGAGGAACACCGGUGGCGAAGGCGGCUACCUGGACCGGUACUGACGCUGAGGAGCGAAAGCGUGGGUAGCAAACAGG
rnacentral:rRNA from 1 species